rnacentral:rRNA from 1 species
UGGGGAAUUUUCCGCAAUGGGCGAAAGCCUGACGGAGCAAGACCGCGUGAGGGAGGAAGGCUCUUGGGUUGUAAACCUCUUUUCUCUGGGAAGAAAAAAAUGACGGUACCAGAGGAAUCAGCAUCGGCUAACUCCGUGCCAGCAGCCGCGGUAAGACGGAGGAUGCAAGCGUUAUCCGGAAUGAUUGGGCGUAAAGCGUCCGCAGGUGGCAAAUCAAGUCUGCUGUUAAAGCGCAGGGCUUAACUCUGUAAAGGCAGUGGAAACUGAUUAGCUAGAGUAUGGUAGGGGUAGAGGGAAUUCCCAGUGUAGCGGUGAAAUGCGUAGAGAUUGGGAAGAACAUCGGUGGCGGAGGCGCUCUGCUGGACCAUAACUGACACUCACAGGACGAAAGCUAGGGGAGCGAAUG